rnacentral:tRNA from 1 species
CGGAAUCAUAGUUUAAUAUAAAAUAUUAGCAUUGGAAGCUAAAGAUUAGGUGAUUACCUAUAUUCUGA